rnacentral:rRNA from 1 species
UACGUAGGGGGCAAGCGUUAUCCGGAUUUACUGGGUGUAAAGGGAGCGUAGACGGCAGUGCAAGUCUGGAGUGAAGGGCGGGGGCUCAACCCCCGGACUGCUCUGGAAACUGUACGGCUGGAGUGCAGGAGAGGUAAGUGGAAUUCCUAGUGUAGCGGUGAAAUGCGUAGAUAUUAGGAGGAACACCAGUGGCGAAGGCGGCUUACUGGACUGUAACUGACGUUGAGGCUCGAAAGCGUGGGGAGCAAACAGG